rnacentral:tRNA from 1 species
GAGAUUGUGGCUCACUGGUAGAGCACUCGCCUAGCAUGUGUGGGGACCUGGGUUCGAUCCUCAGCACCACA